AAGCGGGUGAAAAGCCCGCUCGCCGGAAGACCAAGGGUUCCUGUCCAACGUUAAUCGGGGCAGGGUGAGUCGACCCCUAAGGCGAGGCCGAAAGGCGUAGUCGAUGGGAAACAGGUUAAUAUUCCUGUACUUGGUGUUACUGCGAAGGGGGGACGGAGAAGGCUAUGUUAGCCGGGCGACGGUUGUCCCGGUUUAAGCAUGUAGGCUGAUUGUCCAGGCAAAUCCGGAUAAUCAAGGCUGAGGUGUGAUGACGAGGCACUACGGUGCUGAAGUAACAAAUGCCCUGCUUCCAGGAAAAGCCUCUAAGCAUCAGGUAACAUUAAAUCGUACCCCAAACCGACACAGGUGGUCAGGUAGAGAAUACCAAGGCGCUUGAGAGAACUCGGGUGAAGGAAC
rnacentral:rRNA from 1 species